rnacentral:rRNA from 1 species
UGGCGAACGGGUGAGUAACACGUGGGUGAUCUGCCUUGCACUUCGGGAUAAGCCUGGGAAACUUGGUCUAAUACCGGAUAGGACCAUGCUUUAGUGUGUGUGGUGGAAAGUUUUUCGGUGCAAGAUGAGCCCGCGGCCUAUCAGCUUGUUGGUGGGGUAAUGGCCUACCAAGGCGACGACGGGUAGCCGGCCUGAGAGGGUGUACGGCCACAUUGGGACUGAGACACGGCCCAG